rnacentral:rRNA from 1 species
UACAGAGGGGGCAAGCGUUGUUCGGAAUCACUGGGCGUAAAGGGAGCGUAGGCGGCGUGGUAAGUCAGAUGUGAAAUCCCGGGGCUCAACCCCGGAACUGCAUCCGAUACUGCCAUGCUAGAGGAUUGGAGAGGAAGGUGGAAUGCUUGGUGUAGAGGUGAAAUUCGUAGAUAUCAAGCGGAACACCGGUGGCGAAGGCGGCCUUCUGGACCAAUACUGACGCUGAGGAGCGAAAGCCAGGGGAGCAAACGGG